rnacentral:rRNA from 1 species
UACGGGGGGGGCAAGCGUUGUUCGGAAUUACUGGGCGUAAAGGGCUCGUAGGCGGCCAACUAAGUCAGACGUGAAAUCCCCAGGCUCAACCUGGGAACUGCGUCUGAUACUGGUUGGCUUGAAUCCGGGAGAGGGAUGCAGAAUUCCAGGUGUAGCGGUGAAAUGCGUAGAUAUCUGGAGGAAUACCGGUGGCGAAGGCGGCAUCCUGGACCGGCAUUGACGCUGAGGCGCGAAAGCCAGGGGAGCAAACGGG